AGUUUGAUCCUGGCUCAGGAUGAACGCUGGCGGCGUGCUUAACACAUGCAAGUCGAACGGGGAUGCCAUUUUCGAGGCGGUUAGUUUACUAAGCGCCAAGAUGCUGGCAUCUUAGUGGCGGACGGGUGAGUAACGCGUGGGUAACCUGCCUUAUACAGGGGGAUAACACUUAGAAAUAGGUGCUAAUACCGCAUAAGCGCACGGGGCUGCAUGGCCCAGUGUGAAAAACUCCGGUGGUAUAAGAUGGACCCGCGUCUGAUUAGCUUGUUGGCGGGGUAACGGCCCACCAAGGCGACGAUCAGUAGCCGGCCUGAGAGGGUGGACGGCCACAUUGGGACUGAGACACGGCCCAAACUCCUACGGGAGGCAGCAGUGGGGAAUAUUGGACAAUGGGGGGAACCCUGAUCCAGCGACGCCGCGUGAGUGAAGAAGUAUUUCGGUAUGUAAAGCUCUAUCAGCAGGGAAGAAAGAAAUGACGGUACCUGACUAAGAAGCCCCGGCUAACUACGUGCCAGCAGCCGCGGUAAUACGUAGGGGGCAAGCGUUAUCCGGAUUUACUGGGUGUAAAGGGAGCGUAGACGGUUAUGCAAGUCUGGAGUGAAAGGCGGGGGCCCAACCCCCGGACUGCUUUGGAAACUGUGUAACUGGAGUGCANGAGAGGUAAGUGGAAUUCCUAGUGUAGCGGUGAAAUGCGUAGAUA
rnacentral:rRNA from 1 species